rnacentral:rRNA from 1 species
UACGUAGGGCGCAAGCGUUAUCCGGAAUUAUUGGGCGUAAAGAGCUCGUAGGCGGUUUGUCGCGUCUGCCGUGAAAGUCCGGGGCUCAACUCCGGAUCUGCGGUGGGUACGGGCAGACUAGAGUGAUGUAGGGGAGACUGGAAUUCCUGGUGUAGCGGUGGAAUGCGUAGAGAUCCGGAAGAACACCGGUGGCGAAGGCGGUUAGCUGGGCAGUUGCUGACACUGAGGCGCGACAGCGUGGGGAGCAAACAGG